rnacentral:rRNA from 1 species
GACGAACGCUGGCGGCGUGCUUAACACAUGCAAGUCGAACGAAGUGGCGAACGGGUGAGUAACGCGUAAUCAACCUGCCCUUCAGAGGGGGACAACAGUAGGAAACGACUGCUAAUACCGCAUACUGAAGGAGGGGAUUGCGGCGGAUUAGCUAGUUGGAGGGGUAACGGCCCCCCAAGGCGAGGAUCAGUAGCCGGGCUGAGGGGAUGAACGGCCACAUUGGGACGGGGACACGGCCCAGACUCCUACGGGAGGCAGCAGUGGGGAAACUUCCGCCAUGGACGAAAGUCUGACGGAGCAACGCCGCGUGGGUGAUGACGGCCUUCGGGUUGUAAAACUCUGUUAAUCGGGACGCGGUACCGGAAUAGAAAGCCACGGCUAACUACGUGCCAGCCGCCGCGGUAAUUC